ACUAGAUCAAGCUGCAGCUAGUUUUGGGCUUUAGUCGAAAUUUUCUGCAGGUUCUACUUCUAUAGUUCUCUGAGAUGGUUUCAUGACAGGGUUGCAAGCAAAAUGAUUCCUGAUAAAUGUGGAAUGAUGUUUACUAGCAUCAUAAACACAUAAAUCUAAGGAGGUCAUUCAUGUUUUUGCUACUGAGCAAACCAAGAAUGAAGAAUUAACUAAUUAUUAGCCAUUUCUUCAAUAGUAGGGUGCAACUUUUUAUGUAAACAUUUUUUGAUGCAUAAUAAAGUGCUACUGGAUAAUCUAGAGUUGGACCUUUCAAAACAA